GACGCUCUCUUCGGAGGGAGUGGCGCACGGGUGAGUAACACGUGGGAACCUACCCUGAGGUACGGAAUAACCGUUGGAAACGACGGCUAAUACCGUAUGUCCCCUUUGGGGGAAAGAUUUAUCGCCUUGGGAUGGGCCCGCGGUCGAUUAGCUAGUUGGUGUGGUAAUGGCGCACCAAGGCGACGAUCGAUAGCUGGUCUGAGAGGAUGAUCAGCCACACUGGGACUGAGACACGGCCCAGACUCCUACGGGAGGCAGCAGUGGGGAAUAUUGGACAAUGGGCGCAAGCCUGAUCCAGCCAUGCCGCGUGAGUGAUGAAGGCCUUCGGGUUGUAAAGCUCUUUCAGGUGGGACGAUGAUGACGGUACCACCAGAAGAAGCCCCGGCUAACUUCGUGCCAGCAGCCGCGGUAAUACGAAGGGGGCUAGCGUUGUUCGGAAUCACUGGGCGUAAAGCGCGCGUAGGCGGUCAUGCCAGUCAGGGGUGAAAGCCCAGGGCUCAACCCUGGAACGGCCUUUGAUACUG
rnacentral:rRNA from 1 species